AUCCGGCUGAAGAUUCUCGAAUAGGACGAAACACGCGUCCUGGAU
rnacentral:hammerhead_ribozyme from 1 species